CCAAAUAGAGGUGAAUUUUUGUUAAUAAUUUUAUUGGAGUCUCCUUCUUCUAUAAGUUUAAAUCUAGCUAAAUAUAUAGACUUUUUUUAGUGUAUAUAAAAUUAUAAAAUUAAUUAAAAGACAUUUAGUACAAAAAAUUUUUUUAAUAGCCAAACUAACUAAAGUAAAUAAAUGAUCUAUUAGGUGCCAGCAUUCGCGGUUACACCUAUAUUUAAUAUAUAAACCAUGGUCCAGGAUCCUUUAACUAUAAUUAAAAACCUUAGAAGUAAAAUUCUGCUUGUUUUUAAAAUGUAUCACCAUACCUUAAAAAUUAAAUAAUAAACAGGGAUUAGAUACCCCUUUAUAUAAAAUAGAAUAUAACAUAGGGUAGUAAAUGUUAUAUAACCCCAAACCCAAAGAUUUUGGCGGCAACCAACCUUUCCAGAGAGACCUGUUUAUUUAUUUGACAAUCCACAUUAAAUCUUACUUUGACUAAAACUUGCAUACCGUCAUCUAAAUUUUAUCUUAAGAUAAAUAUUUCAAAGAUAACAAAAAUGUUAGAUCAACGCGCAGUAUAUAUAAAAGCUCUUAAUGGGUCUCAAUUUAAAUUAAAUAGAAGAAAACCUAACAACUUUUAGAAAGAGGAUUUGGAUGUAAUAAUUCUUUAAAAUAAUAUUAUGAUUAAGCCAUUGAUUGUGUACAUAUCGCCCGUCGCCCUCGACCCGAGGUAAGUCGUAACAUAGUAGAAGUACUAGAAAGUGUUUCUUUAUUUAU
rnacentral:rRNA from 1 species